GAUGAACGCUGGCGGCGUGCCUAAUACAUGCAAGUAGAACGCUGAAGCUUGGUGCUUGCACCGAGCGGAUGAGUUGCGAACGUGUGAGUAACGCGUAGGUAACCUGCCUCUUAGCGGGGGAUAACUAUUGGAAACGAUAGCUAAUACCGCAUAAAAGUCGAUAUCGCAUGAUAUUGAUUUGAAAGGUGCAAAUGCAUCACUAAGAGAUGGACCUGCGUUGUAUUAGCUAGUUGGUGAGGUAACGGCUCACCAAGGCGACGAUACAUAGCCGACCUGAGAGGGUGAUCGGCCACACUGGGACUGAGACACGGCCCAGACUGCUAGGGGAGGCAGCAGUAGGGAAUCUUCGGCAAUGGGGGCAACACUGACCGAGCAACGCCGCGUGAGUGAAGAAGGUUGUCGGAUCGUAAAGGUCGGUUGUAAGAGAAGAACGAGUGUGAGAGUGGAAAGUUCACAGUGUGACGGUAACUUACCAGAAAGGGACGGCUAACUACGUG
rnacentral:rRNA from 1 species